ACCCCGAGAUGUGAUGCCGAACCGCUUCAGGUGAAGUGACUGAUCCCAUGCUGCCGAGAAAAGCCUCUAGCGAGCUGACAUGGUGCCCGUACCCCAAACCGACUCAGGUGGGCACGUAGAGAAUACGAAGGCGAUCGGGAUAACUCUGGUUAAGGAACUCGGCAAAAUGCCCCCGUAACUUCGGGAGAAGGGGGGCCUCAGUAGGGUAAGGGACUUCGCGUCCUGAGCUCGAGGAGGCCGCAGAGACCAGGGCCAAGCGACUGUUUACUAAAAACACAGGAGCGUGCGAAGUCGUAAGACGAUGUAUACGCUCUGACGCCUGCCCGGUGCCGGAAGGUUACGUGGAAGGGUUAGCCGCAAGGCGAAGCUCUGAAACUAAGCCCCGGUAAACGGCGGCCGUAACUAUAACGGUUCUAAGGUAGCGAAAUUCCUUGUCGGGUAAGUUCCGACCUGCACGAAUGGCGUAACGACUUGGCUACUGUCUCAACCAGAGACCCGGCGAAGUUGCACGACGAGUAAAGACGCUCGUUUCCCGCAGAAGGACGGAAAGACCCCGUGGACCUUUACUACAAUUUGAUGUUGGGUUUCGGUAGAUGUUGUGUAGGAUAGGUGGGAGUCUUGGAAGCCGGGGCGUUAGCUUCGGUGGAGACAACGUUGAAAUACCACCCUGCAUGUAUUGAGGCUCUAACUCAGGCCCGUGAAUCCGGGUCGGGGACAGCGUCAGGUGGGUAGUUUGACUGGGGCGGUCGCCUCCUAAAGAGUAACGGAGGCGCCCAAAGGUUCCCUCAGCCUGGUUGGCCAUCAGGCGGCGAGUGCAAAGGCACAAGGGAGCUUGACUGCGAGACCUACAAGUCGAGCAGGUGCGAAAGCAGGGCUUAGUGACCCGGCCGUGGCAUGUGGAAGCGCGGUCGAUCAACGGAUAAAAGGUACCCCGGGGAUAACAGGCCUAUCUUGCCCAAGAGUCCACAUCGACGGCAAGGUUUGGCACCUCGAUGUCGGCUCGUCGCAUCCUGGGGGUGAAGCAUCUCCCAAGGGUUGGGCUGUUCGCCCAUUAAAGCGGUACGCGAGCUGGGUUUAGAACGUCGCGAGACAGUUCGGUCCCUAUCCUCUGUGGGCGUAGGAGAUUUGAGGGGAGCUGUCCCUAGUACGAGAGGACCGGGACGGACGCAGCUCUCGUGUGCCAGUUGUCCUGCCAAGGGCACGGCUGGUUGGCGACCUGCGGAAGGGAUAAGCGCUGAAAGCAUCUAAGCGCGAAGCCCGCCUCGAGAUGAGAUCUCCCACCGGGUUAACCGGGUAAGGCCCCUGGAAGACGACCAGGUUGAUAGGCCGGAGGUGUACGCACGGUGACGUGUUCAGCCGACCGGUACUAAUAGGCCGAGGGCUUGGGACA
rnacentral:rRNA from 1 species